rnacentral:lncRNA from 1 species
UGUGCUCCAGGUUAUUUUCAUGGUGCCGGCGAACAGGGGUAGUUGUGGUGCAGUAGGGAAUAUUUCAAGAAGAAAUGCGACAGGAUCAGUUAUAGCUCCUUGCCCCUCUCAUUGUUUUUUUUUUUUUUUUAAUUUUUUUUUUGAUGUAGAUGGACACAAUAUUUAUUUAUUUUAAAAUAUUUACUUUUUAGUUGUAGUUGGACACAAUAUUUUUAUUUUAUUUAUUGUUUUAUGUGGUGCUGAGGAUCGAACCCAGGGCCUCGAACGUGCUAGGUGAACACUCCAGGCUGAGCCGCUACCCCAGCCCUCUUUAUUUAUUUUAAUGUGGUGGUGAGGACUGAACCCAGUACCUCACAUGUGUGAGGCAAGUGCUCUCCAAGUGAGCUACAGCCCCAGCCCAUCUUUCAUUGUUUUUGUUAAACAAAACAAAAAACCAAAAAAUAGGCGAAAAAAUUUCACAAAAACUUAGAAAUUUGUUUUAUGAAAAAUUUCAAGCAUGCACAAGGGGAAUCACACGACCCUGGACUGCCAUGAUUGUCCAUCUGUUCUCUUCUCCUUAUUUUCUGGUGUACUUGAAGCAGAUUUUGGAUAUCUGAAUUCAUUGAGAAAUAUUUCAGCAUGCAUUUCUAUCAUUGAAGACUUUUCUUUUUAAAACAUAACCAUUGCAUUAUCAUUAUACCUGAUGAAAAUACAAAGAAUUCCCUGGUAUCAUCUAAUACCAUGUCCUUAUUCAGAUUUUCUCGAUUGUCUAAAAAGUCUGUAAAUGUUUGACUCCUGAUUUGAGUAAACUGCUCACGUUCUGUCAGCAUGUUUCUUAAGUCUCUGUGCUCCCUACCACUUCCCCUCCCACUUUGUUCCCGUUCAUGCAACUGGUUUGGUAGAGAAACUGGGUCAUUUUGUCCUGUGCCUUUACCUUAGCCUUUGGCUGAUUUAACUGUUCAUGGUGCUGACAGGCAGAGAAGGCCAGGCCUUGGUGCAGUCAGUCCAGCCACCUUCCAGCAGCUGUUCUAACACAAGCCGAGAGACGGACACUAGUGGUUAUGACUGGCUGCUCACAACCCUCUCAUUCCAGUGAUGAUUCUAGGUAAUUUUGAGUUGCAAAUAAGGUGUAAAAUAUCUUUUCCCAAAUUAAAUGAGGGUCAUUCUACUUAUACUUUCUUUAACCCACUGACUUGGGCCAUAUGUCAUCAAGAGGAAUGAGUAGCCUUCUGUGUCCUGUAGGGCUGGAGUGUGGCUCUGUCUAAUGAGUGGAGUGGCUGCUGUAGUGGUCCGAGGGGUCCCCUUGUGCUGUUAUCAUCCACCCAUCUUUCUUGAUUUUUAACCUGUAUUAACAGUUUCUUGUAUUUCUAGUGGAAUUGUUUUAAAAGUCCUAAUAGAAAGCAUAUAUUGCGUCAUAAUCCUCUUGAAAGAUGCAAUUUGAUAUUAGGAGUACUAGCUUUUUUUUUUUUUUUUAAAGAAAACUCUUAAGCCAGGUAUGGUGGCAUGUGCCUAUUUUUCUACUUGGGAGGCUGAGGCAGGAGGAUUGCUUGAACCCAGGAGUUCAAGGCCAAGCCUUAACAGCAUAGUGAGAUCAUGUCUCAGAAAGAAGGAAAGGAAAUCAGUCUGUGCAGCUCAUAGAUCUGUACUGCCCUGCUUUUGUGCUAGAGGACUUGAGUUAUUGCUGCUUUCGUUUGUAAAUGCCUUGCAUAUUUGAUGAGAUAGCUGUGUGCCUAGCUCUCUUCCUCUUGGGUUCCUGGCUCUCCUCUUUAGAUCUUUCUGGCUUUUCUUUUUCUGUUCCACUUUCUUGCCUUCUUGGGUACAGACUCACUCUUCCUUUUUAU